rnacentral:rRNA from 1 species
UACGAAGGGGGCUAGCGUUGUUCGGAGUUACUGGGCGUAAAGCGUGCGCAGGCGGCUUCUCAAGUCAGGGGUGAAAGCCCAGAGCUCAACUCUGGAAUUGCCUUUGAGACUGAGUGGCUUGAGUACGAGAGAGGUGAGUGGAAUUCCCAGUGUAGAGGUGAAAUUCGUAGAUAUUGGGAAGAACACCGGUGGCGAAGGCGGCUCACUGGCUCGUAACUGACGCUCAUGCACGACAGCGUGAGGAUCAAGCAGG